rnacentral:lncRNA from 1 species
GGGUGAACAAGAGAUCAACAAUGUUUCUCAAUCACUCUUUUUUGUCUCUACUAAUUUUUGGCAUGGUCUUCUACCCUCCUUUGGUUACUGAGGCCUGAGACUAUACUAAUCACACUAGCUGUAGGUUGGUUGUUAUUGUUCUCCAUGCCUGACUGGUGCCGAGAUGGCACAGGUUGGAAAAUAAGCUGUGGAGAUUAUUGUUGCUCUGUAGUCUGCUGUAGAUGUUAGAUGGCGUCGGUUAAUACUUGGACCUAACAGAUCAGGUUGUCAAAUUAUUGCGGGUCAGCUGUCACGAGCAUUGACUAUAGAUCUAUUUGGAGCAGACAGCUGGAUGACUCCACCUUGGCUUCAUUGGACAAACUAUCAACGGGAAGCGAUGGAGUGGUUGCAUCUCGCCAUACUCUUUCUCCUUCAUUGGGUUGCUGGCCCUUCUUUUAGUGUCAAAUUAUUGCGUCAAGACUCCAGUGGAUGCUGGAGU